GUGCUUGCUUCAGCAGCACAUACACUAAAGUUGGAAUAAUACAGAGAAGAUUAGCAUGGCCCCUUAAGAAAAAAAGAAUCCUCUUCAUAGCAUCUUUAAAAUUUAUUU